rnacentral:rRNA from 1 species
GAUGAACGCUGGCGGCGUGCCUAAUACAUGCAAGUCGAGCGAACGGACGAGAAGCUUGCUUCUCUGAUGUUAGCGGCGGACGGGUGAGUAACACGUGGAUAACCUACCUAUAAGACUGGGAUAACUUCGGGAAACCGGAGCUAAUACCGGAUAAUAUUUUUAACCGCAUGGUUCAAAAGUAAAAGACGGUCUUGCUGUCACUUAUAGAUGGAUCCCCGCUGCUUUAGCUAGUUGGUAAGGUAACGGCUUACCAAGGCAACGAUGCAUAGCCGACCUGAGAGGGGGAUCGGCCACACUGGAACUGGGCCACGGUCCAGACUCCUACGGGAGGCAGCAGUAGGGAAUCUUCCGCAAUGGGCGAAAGCCUGACGGAGCAACGCCGCGUGAGUGAUGAAGGUCUUCGGAUCGUAAAACUCUGUUAUUAGGGAAGAACAUAUGUGUAAGUAACUGUGCACAUCUUGACGGUACCUAAUCAGAAAGCCACGGCUAACUACGUG